UUUCCCUGGAGGGGCUUUGCGCGUGGCGAGUCUGUGUCCUCCCUGUCCCUCCGAGCAGAGAGCCUCCCCGUAUCUGGACCGGGGAGGAGCAGACGCUGGACAGGUUUCUGGGAGAAUGCUGGCAAUUCCCAGGAAGAUACGUGGAGAACGGAAAGGUUGCUACACCCAAAUAGUGGAGCAAAGCUAUGAUUAUGGAGGAUUGGACCUGCAAACUCCAGAACAGAGCAACCUUGUAAAAUGUGUGUGGGCAGCACAGAGACCUUGGGCAAGUUAACAGUUUCCUCAUCUAAAUAGUGAUUUAUGGAAAGCACCUGGUGCGUGGGUGUUUUGGUCCCAGGGAACCUCGUUUUCAGAGCAGAGGCUCACGCAGAUCCUGAGCCCAGUUAAUGGUCAUACCUUUCCCUGACUAAGUGAAUGUUCAUUCUAUCCUUUGAGAUGAUCUUUGAAGUCUCAUUACAUA
rnacentral:sRNA from 1 species